UACGGGGGGAGCAAGCGUUGUUCGGAUUUACUGGGCGUAAAGGGCGCGUAGGCGGUCAGCACAAGUCAGUUGUGAAAUCUCCGAGCUUAACUCGGAACGGUCAACUGAUACUGUGCGACUAGAGUGCGGAAGGGGCAACUGGAAUUCUCGGUGUAGCGGUGAAAUGCGUAGAUAUCGAGAGGAACACCUGCGGCGAAGGCGGGUUGCUGGGCCGACACUGACGCUGGAUGCGCGAAAGCCAGGGGAGCGAACGGG
rnacentral:rRNA from 1 species